rnacentral:rRNA from 1 species
GAACGCAAGGCUUCGGCCUUGAGUGGCGCACGGGUGAGUAGCGCGUGGGAACCUGCCCUGGAGUGGGGGAUAACCGAGGGAAACUUCGGCUAAUACCGCAUGCGCCCGGAGCAAUCCGGGGAAAGAUUUAUCGCUCUAGGAGGGGCCCGCGUCGGAUUAGCUAGUUGGUGGGGUAACGGCCUACCAAGGCGAUGAUCCGUAGCUGGUCUGAGAGGAUGAUCAGCCACACUGGGACUGAGACACGGCCCAGACUCCUACGGGAGGCAGCAGUGGGGAAUAUUGCGCAAUGGGCGAAAGCCUGACGCAGCAACGCCGCGUGAGUGAUGAAGGCCUUCGGGUCGUAAAGCUCUGUCGGAGGGAACGA